rnacentral:rRNA from 1 species
GAUGAACGCUAGCGGAAGGCUUAAUACAUGCAAGUCGAGCGGUAGGUGGCUUCGGCCAUUGAGAGCGGCGCACGGGUGAGUAACGCGUACAUGACCUGCCUGUCAGAAGGGGAUAGCCCUGGGAAACUGGGAUUAAUACCCUAUGGUAUUGAUAUUAUGAAUGAUAUCAAUUAAAGUUGAGGCGCUGACAGAUGGAUGUGCGUCUGAUUAGCUAGUUGGUAGGGUAACGGCCUACCAAGGCGACGAUCAGUAGGGGGCGUGAGAGCGUGGUCCCCCACACGGGUACUGAGACACGGACCCGACUCCUACGGGAGGCAGCAGUAAGGAAUAUUGGUCAAUGCCCGCAAGGGUGAACCAGCCAUUCCGCGUGGAGGAUGAAGGCCCUAUGGGUUGUAAACUUCUUUUAGAUGGGAAGAAAAUGCUAGAUGUAUCUGGUACUGACGGUACCAUCAGAAUAAGCACCGGCUAAACUCCGUGCCAGCAGCCGCGGUAAU